UACGAAGGGGGCUAGCGUUGUUCGGAAUUACUGGGCGUAAAGCGCACGUAGGCGGAUCGAUCAGUCAGGGGUGAAAUCCCAGGGCUCAACCCUGGAACUGCCUUUGAUACUGUCGAUCUGGAGUAUGGAAGAGGUGAGUGGAAUUCCGAGUGUAGAGGUGAAAUUCGUAGAUAUUCGCAAGAACACCAGUGGCGAAGGCGGCUCACUGGCCCGGUACUGACGCUGAGGCACGAAAGCGUGGGGAGCAAACAGG
rnacentral:rRNA from 1 species